UACGUAGGAGGCAAGCGUUGUCCGGAAUUACUGGGUGUAAAGCGCGUGUAGGCGGCAGGCCAAGUCUGUGGUGAAAUCGCUCGGCUCAACUGGGCGGGGGUCCAUGGAAACUGGUCAGCUGGAGGACGGUAGAGGUGAGUGGAAUUCCCGGUGUAGUGGUGAAAUGCGUAGAGAUCGGGAGGAACACCCGUGGCGAAGGCGGCUCACUGGGCCGGUCCUGACGCUGAGACGCGAAGGCGUGGGGAGCGAACGGG
rnacentral:rRNA from 1 species